CAUAAUAAGAGGACUGUAACACCAAAAAAGAUACAGAAGCCAUCCUCGUCCUCAUCAACACCAAACAAAUUGCCGACACCAACUUCUCAUCAAAAUAAGAGGACUGUAACACCAAAAAAGAUACAGAAGCCAUCUUCGUCCUCAGCAGCACCAAACAAAGCGCUGACACCAACUUCUCAUCAAAAGAAAAGGACUGUAACACCAAAAAAGAUGGAGAAACCAUCCUCGCCCUCAUCAAAAGCAAAUUCAACAACCAGUAGUAGUAGUUCAGUAACCCCACAGGGAAGUCCAAGUCGCUCGGGUCCCUCAACACAAUCAAGCCCUGGUGUUGUCAGUUUUGACAGUUUACUAUCAUCUGAUGAGAAUAAUGACUCUGAGGAUUUCACAAGUUUUCAGAGAGACAUGGAACAGUCAAUGAAAAAGAGCAGG